GACGGAAGGUGCAAGCGUUGCUCGGAAUCACUGGGCGUAAAGGGUGCGUAGGCGGGUUUUUAAGUCAGGGGUGAAAUCCUGGAGCUCAACUCCAGAACUGCCUUUGAUACUGAAGAUCUCGAGUCCGGGAGAGGUGAGUGGAACUGCGAGUGUAGAGGUGAAAUUCGUAGAUAUUCGCAAGAACACCAGUGGCGAAGGCGGCUCACUGGCCCGGUACUGACGCUGAGGUGCGAAAGCGUGGGGAGCAAACAGG
rnacentral:rRNA from 1 species